rnacentral:misc_RNA from 1 species
CUACCUUAGGCCGAAGCUUCUCUCUACUGCAAUGGGCAAAAGCUCCUCAUCAAUGAGCAAAGCCAAAUCCGCAGCAAUUGGCAAAACCCCUCUCUACAAUGGGUGACAACCUCACUCCAUGGGCUGAAAGUCAUUCUCUUCAAUGGGCAAAAGUCAAAUAACAUUUUUCAUCAUUCUCUUAUUUAUAGUGUUAAUUCUCUCAAUCCUAAUCUCAAUCCUAAUCUGAUUAGUGGUCCAACGAAAUUUAGAAAUAACACUAAAAUAGGAGUUCUACUCUAUAUAGAAAAUAUACUUAUAUCUUAUUGAAUAAUAUUUAUCCAACGCAAAAUGAGAAAAGGUCUUUCUCCAAAUCACAUUAGAAUUUUGAGCCAUAAUUCUAAUAGUUUAUUUACCUUGUAAAACAGAAAUUGCUCUUGAAUUCCAUCCUUACAGAUAACAACUGGUUAUUGAGGGAAAAUGGAUUACAAGUGUGUUUCAUUGCUUGAAUGAAAUCUCAGUGAUGUUCAUUUUCUUCUUUAUUUAUUUGUUUCUGCUAUCCGCAGGCUCAUACGUGACUCAUGAGACAAACCACUUUGUUUAUUUCUAUUUGGACCAGAAAGCAGUUCUGUUAUUCAAAUCUGGGUGACGAGGACGGAGAUCUCCAUCAAGAAGAUGGGGACAGUGGUGAUCAUUAUGCUAUGUAGUUAUUGGCUGCUGUAUGUAUUUAACCAAAUCUACCGGCAUGCAAAAACUCUAGCUAGAGUAAUCUGUGCUCAAUUUGUAUAUUAAAUUUCACUUUAUAUGGUUUUGAGGUUGGGUUGAAAUGUGGUAUUUCAAUAAACAUAAUCGCUAUCUUAUCAUCACAGGCAACAAACACAUCCAUUUUCCAACACUAUCAACCAUAAUGUUAGCCACUAUUAUUAAUAAUAGCUACAACUCCAGUGUUAUCUAAGGGUGAGGUUGGCCAUGGAUUUUGAAACCUAUAACAUGAGCUUUAAUUUGGUAAUUAUAUUGUGUAAGGCUCCUGUUCAAGCCGAAAGUCUCUUCCUAUGUCUCAUCAUCAGAGUCCCGCACAACUCUAUUAUUAUCCCUCUUUAUUCUCUUGCCAUUGGAAACUCCAUGUCCAUUCUCGCCGUCAGACUCCUCUGCAGCCUUAGGACUAUCCAUUUGAGGUGAAGAAACCCUUUCUGAUUCAGUGUCUUCCGAAUCAUGUGACCUGCCUGCUCUAUCAUUGGCCGCGUCAUGGCUAUUUGGAGCAUCUUCUCCAUUGUUCCUGUUAUCUAAUAUUCUGAAAUCCCUGGAGGUGCUACGCUUGGCAUGCUUCAGUAAAUUCACUUUGCUCACCUUGCUAAGCCGGAUGAGAUACUUCUCAUAAUCUUCUAUCUGAAAAAUCAGAUCAGGAAUAAAUUUAUUCUCCCUCUUGAUCUUGUUGAUGAUAACCUUAGUAUUAGGAUUUUCUUGUUGUCCCCGUUGUAAUUCCGCAACAAAUUUAUAAAGAGGAACUGUGAGCUGCUUGCAGGUUAUUUCCACAAGCCUCUGGAAAGUUGGACUGGGGAUGAGUUGUUUGCAUCCCUUAGGUGCAAUCCUGAGUCUUGACAUCUGAGCCAAAUGCUUGUAAAACUUUGCAGUCAAUCUCAGCAAAUGCUCUGCUUGGGGGUCCUUCAGGUUCAUCAAAACAAAGGAAGAUAGUACUUUCACCACAGCUUCAGCCCUCAAGUACAGAUUAUCCUCAACUGCGAAUCCAGGAACAUCUUCUCCAUUCUGACUAAGAUGAAUGCUUUUUUGCCAUACCAAAGAAAACGUCUUUAGUUUUUUCAUGGCCCAAUGCAUGUCAGUGAUAAAGGCUUCAAUAAAUUUCAGUAUGCACGAACUUAUAGCAGUGCUUGUUGACUGGUUUAUUAUGGGGUAUGAUUCAGACAUCUCUACUUGGGUGUUCCUCUCCAAUCCAAUGACUUCCAGUAGUUCCUUAGCCAUGUACUGAGCCACAAUUAAAUCAUCUGGCGGCGAGCUUAAAGAGAUUGCAAGUGCAGCCACACUUCUAGCGACCCUGGAAUUUCUAAUGCCAUUGCUUUUGCAGACAUGAAUACCCCAUGAUCCAUUAGAAUUCCUCCAUUUUGAAGGCAAUUUCUCACAAACCAUCAUCAACAUCUCACAGAGAAUCUCAAUUUCAUGAAAAGAAGAUUGCGCUAGAAGCUCAGCGAACAGUGGCCUCAGAAUUUUGACAAUGAAAAUCACCUUGAUUCUUAUCUGUUGAUCACCAAUCCUGGACAUUUCUUCAUAUUCUUCAUCUAAAUCAUACUUGAGAGCAGAGGCUGACAGCAAAUCUUCAAGCAAGCCAGUUGAACAAGAAUUCUUCAAACUAAUUGUAACCAAUUCCUUCAAACACAAUAAGGCCAGGUGAAGAUGCUCCUUUCUGUCCUCAACAGCUUUUUUCCCCUUCAUUUCCUUUUUCUGAUCUGUUGCAAAGUUUAGCCCUGAGUUAAGCAAGCAAAUUAAUUUCAGCAAAGGAGGCCCCAUUAAUUUGAUUUCCCCAUAAAUUAAAGUCUUCAAUGGUUCUUCUUUUCUUCCAGUGGGGUAAGAUCUUAUGUGAAGAAGGGAACUAUUCAAGACAAAAUGAAUAAUCUUGAAGCAUUUUAAUGUGUCCCUUGAGGGCAACUGGCUAUGGUUCUGGGAAGCUGCAGAACUUCUAGAGCAUUCACUAUUGUAUAGACUCAGUGCUGUUUUCAUUAGCUGACAGAGACUUGAAGUUGCCAAGAAGGGAAUCUGUUCUUCAGUCAAUCCGUCCUUGAUGAAAGAAGGCAUAUCAAGAGCAUUAGCUCGUACAUUCUGACUUUUGACAACGGAGCUCUGCUUUACACAAGUAUACUUUUCCAGUGACUCAUGAAAAUUAACAAACUCAAGAAUUUCCUUUUCAAGAUCUACCCUCUUCAAAUCUGUCGCUUUUUCCAAUUCAAUAGCAAUAGUAUUCAAUACCACUUCAAUAGUUCCUGAUAAAAUCAAUGCACAGCAUUUUUUAUUUUCUUCUUCUACAGCUGUAGAACCAGAACCCAGGGUCGAACUAAGAAUGUCUUCCAAAUUUCCCUUCUUUAGAAAUUUCCGAAUGUGCAAGAAAGCCUUGGAGAAUGCCUCACCAGACAGAUUUCUUCCUACCUCAUUAUCUUGUGAAAGGGAGAAACCAAAACAUGCCCAUAGGGAAUCUGGAUUAUUGGUUUUAUCAUGUGGUUGAAGGAGCAAAAUCCAACAAACACAAGAUAGAAGACAAUCUAGAGGCUCUUCAAUGACAACCUUGCCACCCUCUGAUUUAACACAGCCACUAAUUUGAAGUUGAACAUCAUCAUCCUCCUUGAAAAAAUGAAGGAAGUGAGGCAAGAGGAAAUCAAGUACAGCUCCCCCACUUGCUGGAUCCACCAAGACCAGCUUCAAAAGACCAUGAUACAUGGCUCUCCUCACUUUUGCCUGCAGAUAAAGACAUCUGUGUAGUAAACCACUCAACUCUUGAAAAAGACCUCCAGAAGAAUAGCUACAGGGUAUUUCAGCUUGCUGGCUGCAACUUGCUUGGCUUGAUGAGUCUUGAAGAGAAAAUAGGCCAUCUCUUGUGGAUUGCUUUUCUGCCAAUAGGACACUAAUAAUAGCAUUUGUUGCUGCAAGACGAACUGCAUCUUCUCGUUUAAACAUGGCCUUACGAACAACCAAAAUGGUGUAAUCCCGAAGAUCACGGUUAAAUUUGAAGAGAGAAGCUAGAGCAGUAACAAGAUAUGAGGCAACAUUUCCAUGCAUAAAAGUGAAAUAAUCCAAUAAUUCCUUCAGACGAGAAACGUGUUCCAGCACUGGGUAAGGAUAACUUUGAACCAGGCAAAAGAGCAGUCUUAUUACUGGUAUGCUUUGUUCUGGCUUCAAAGAAAGGACCCGCAACUUGCACUGCUCAAUAAUCUCAUUUCUUGCCAUAUCAUGGAUCUCAAAUAAAUUUUUCAGUAUCUGAACACUAAGCUCUUCAACUCCCAACAGACCACCAAAAUUGCAGAGGUCUCCUUGGUUUCCCCCUUCCAACGACUCUAGCAAUGCAAAGCUAAACUGCACAAUAGAAGGAACGAUAUGCUCCCUUCCAUAGUUGCUCUCAUUUACAGCUCUCAAUAUAGACUUCUCCACCAUUUGGACAAUUUGCAGAUACUCUUUCUUUAAACCGUCUGGUAACCACAGACAGUCCCUGGAAAACUUAUAAUCGCUAUAAGCAGCAAGCACAGCAGUUCUCAAAAUCCCCAUGGAACUCUCACUGAACCUCCUAACCCUCG